rnacentral:rRNA from 1 species
UAAGACGAACUGUGCGAACGUUAUUCGGAAUCACUGGGCUUACAGGGUGCGUAGGCGGCUUGUUAAGUAGGGUGUGAAAUCCCCCGGCCCAACCGGGGAAUGGCGCUCUAAACUAGCAGGCUUGAGUGAGCUAGGGGUGCACGGAACUUCCAGUGGAGCGGUGAAAUGUGUUGAUAUUGGAAGGAACACCGGAGGCGAAAGCGGUGCACUGGGGCUUAACUGACGCUGAGGCACGAAAGCCAGGGGAGCGAACGGGAUUAGAUACCCCGGUAGUCCUGGCCGUAAACGAUGAGCACUGGGCGGGAGAAGGUUCGCCUUUUCCGGCCGUAGCGAAAGCGUUAAGUGCUCCGCCUGGGGAGUAUGGUCGCAAGGCUG